rnacentral:rRNA from 1 species
GUCCACGCUGUAAACGAUGAGUGCUGGACGUUGGCGGGUUUACCUGCCGGUGUCGCAGCUAACGCGUUAAGCACUCCGCCUGGGGAGUACGGCCGCAAGGUUAAAACUCAAAGGAAUUGACGGGGGCCCGCACAAGCGGUGGAGCAUGUGGUUUAAUUCGACGCAACGCGAAGAACCUUACCAGCCCUUGACAUGGGAAGUAUGGGCCGCAGAGACGCGGUCCUUCAGUUCGGCUGGCUUCCACACAGGUGCUGCAUGGCUGUCGU